rnacentral:misc_RNA from 1 species
GGCAUGUUAUUCCUUUUGUGUUAUUUUUCUCUAUCUUUUUAUGAAAGAUGUUCCCUAUUUCAUAGAAAUAUUUUAGCUACACUUUUGGAAAACUGCAUUUCAUUUUCUGAAGCUAUUCGUUGUAUAUGUGCAUAUUGAUAUAUUCUGUUUCUUUACGUGUGCUGAGUGAUCCAAUUAAUUUUCAGUGGUUGCUCAAGUGAAUCAUUGAGGUUUCUGAUGCAUAGUGAUGGGAUAGAAUUAGUGGAUCUUCAUGAUAUUGUAUUGUGCCUUUUAUGAGUGUGGACAUUAAGGUUAAGUUAUAUAUAUAUAUAUAU